AAUGGCUUCUGUUUUACUAGCAUAUUCUUUCUUUUGUCUGCCUAGCUUGCAUACUUUGAUGAAGGAAGCUGCCAUGAGGGCAACCUCUGACCCCUGGCCAGCAAGUAACCAAGGUUCUUAGUUCAACAGGUUGCAAGGGAUUGACUUCUAUGAGCAAGUACUGAGUGAGACUUGGAAGUCAAUCCUUCCCCAGUCAAACCUUCAGACGAGACUGAAGACCCUGGAUUGACACCUUGAUGGAGGGACAAGAAGCAGAGGACCCAGAUAAGCUGUGCCCAGACUCAUUUACCAUGUAAACUGAGAUAAUAAAUGAGUAUUGUUUUAAGCUGCUAAGUUUUGGGGUAACUUGUAAUGCAGCAAUAUAACAUAAUAGAUUUGACUAGAAAGAAGAGGCAAGAACAAAGGAAAAAAUGCAAAAGAUGCUUAUCCUCAAUUACACAAAUUAUUUUGACUUUUAGUUUUUCAAGGCAUCUUUUGCUGAACAGAUAAUACUGACUAUUUUUUUAAUUAUUUAAAAUCUAUUUAAUAAUAUAAUACUUUUAAAA
rnacentral:lncRNA from 1 species